CGUCUCCUGUGAUGUUGGUGAAGUGUUAUUUGUUUUUAACCAAUGCACAUCACACGGGAAUCCUAAUAUUAUCGUUGGAACAAAUGCCAUCAUGGAGUGGACUUGCGAGAACGGUAUGCGGAUACCCACCUGCCAGGAGCAGGUUAAAACUGUGGGCUUCACGGCAAAACGGGGAGUUG
rnacentral:other from 2 species